rnacentral:rRNA from 1 species
UACAGAGGGGGCAAGCGUUAUUCGGAAUUAUUGGGCGUAAAGGGCGCGUAGGCGGCCUUCUAAGUCGGACGUGAAAGCCCCAGGCUUAACCUGGGAACUGCGUCCGAUACUGGGAGGCUUGGAUUCGGGAGAGGGAUGUGGAAUUCCAGGUGUAGCGGUGAAAUGCGUAGAUAUCUGGAGGAACACCGGUGGCGAAGGCGGCAUCCUGGACCGAGAUCGACGCUGAGGCGCGAAAGCUAGGGGAGCAAACGGGG